CUAGGCUCCAGGUCCAGCAGGCCACCCCAGGGGCCACCUGCUGCCCUGGGAGUCAGGGGCCCAGAGCCAGGACUGGCCCAGCCCUUGUAACCUGGGUGCCUGGCUCUUCAAGUCUCCAGGUCUGUAAAUAGGGCAGGUGAGUCCAGCUCACUGGGAACCGUCCCCACCAGCAGGAGCCUCCCACUGGGCUCCUGCACACCAGCCUGGCCCUAGGGACCCCACUGCAGUGCUCUAGGUGCCACCUGCUCCCACGUCCCCCAGGCCCUGGGACUUCCCGAGAAAGGCCCAGGAGGGGCUCUCAGAAUGUCCCACGGUUGCUGCAGUCGGAGGACUUGGCAGGGGCCCAUGGCCGGAACAGGGAAGCAGAUCAAGUUCCGCGGCCUGGAAGUCAGGCUUGAUGGCAGACGGGCAAGUGGGGCCAACUGCAGACGCUGUGACCUGCCACUCGGCGGGGAACGUCCAGCGGGCCUCGGCCACCCGGCCCUUGCUGCUCCGGCCUGUGAGGCGGCACCUGCAGCUGUCUGGUCAGGGCUGGGCGGGAACCUGUUCAGCUGGCAUUAGCCCAGGACAGAGCCCACAAAUGGCACUCGCUGUCUUUAGAGAAGCAGAAGUGCCUAAAGGAGCUGGUGUGGACGCCCCCACGCACCUAGGUGUUCUCACUGCUCAGUCGGCCCAGCAGGAUCCCGCACUAGGAGGGAAGGGGACUGUAGCACACGCCUGUAAUCCAGCAACGCAGGAGGCUGAGGCAGGAGGAUGGCAAGUUUGAGGCCAGCCUCGGCAACUUAACAAGGCCCUCCUUCAAAAUAAAAAAUAAAAAGGGAUGGGGGUACAGCUCAGUGUUAAGCCCCUCUGGGUUCAAUCCCCAGUCCCCCUCCAAAGGAAAGGAAGAAGAAGGGACUGUUCACAGCUCCCCCAGGUCAGAUCUCUAGAGGCGGAGGGUAUGCAGCCUCCGACUGGCUGAGGGCCAGGGCACGGAGGGCCACAGCCUGGGGAGGUUCACCUAUCCAGGCCCGACUUCUCUGAGCUCUCCUCACGCCUGGGGAAAGAGGCUCCCCGGGGCCCAUGACAUCAGAGGAGAGCCCUAUGUCAGCUUCCUGGGUGGCAGGCAGAGGGCCCUCCGGAAGUGUGCUCCUAAUGGACACGGCCCUGGACAGCAAGGGCGGCGGCCAUGGAGGAGACCACGAGGAGGGGCGGUGCCCGUUCGCCCUGGGAGAGGGAUGAGGUUGCCUUCCAUGGGCUUGGCAGGCUAUGGGAGCCCACGGAGACGCCUCUGGGUUCACCUGAGAAGGAAAGGGGGGCAGUGAGCUGCCCUGCUGUCAGCACACGAAGCCUGGGAGGUCACCCGCCAGGUGACCUUGGGAGCCCAAGGAAAGGCCAGAGGUCUGGGGAGUGAGGGCCAAGGCUGGGGUGCACUCAGGGGCCAGGAGAAGCUGGAAAUGGCAGUGUGUGCCCUGCCUGGCAGACAGAGCCCCUAGAGCCCCCGGGCAGGAGGAGGCAGGGGCCUGGCCCAGACAGACGGGCAGAGGGAAGAACCGGAGGUGGUCGCCUGCAGCUCAGGCCCGGCAAGGGCACCCUAGACACUGCAGGGGAGCAGCAUCCAAGAGGGUGGGGGAGCUGGGGGAGCUUCCUGGAAGAGGCGACCCUUCACCCUGGGUGGGAGGAUGUCUCAGUCUCUCCCGCAGUCACAGUGGGGCCUCUGCAGGGACACCAGAGCUGGCAGGUCACCUGGCCUCUUGCCUACAGGUGGCAGAAGGACCUAAGCUAUUUGGCUUUUUUUUUCUUCUUUGAUCUCUCUCUCUCAGUAACACGCUCAGGGCUCGGUGGCACUGGGCACGUCACCAUGUCUGGCUGCAGAAGGUUCCCACCACCCUGGAGGACCCCGGCUCUGUCCUGGCCCCCAGCACUAUCUCCAGCACCUGCGUCCCCCAAGCUGAGUUCUCACCUGGGGGUUUGCCUGCUGGGGACAUUCCACAUCCUCAUCCCCCACCCCGUCUCUCUCUCCCUCCCUCUCUCUCUCUCUCUCCCUCGCUCUCUCCCCCUCUCCCUCCCUCUCUCCCUCCCUCUCUCCCUCCCUCUCUCCCUCCCUCCCUCUCUCCCUCUCCCUCUCUCCCUCUCCCUCUCUCUCUCUCUCUCUCUCUCUCUUAGUUGUAGGUAGACACCAUCUUUAUUUAUUCCUUUAUUUCUAUGUGGUGCUGAGGAUGGAACCCAGGGCCUUGCCUGUGUGAGGUGAGUGCUCUGCCACUGAGCCCCAGCCCCAGGCCCCUACAUCCUCUUUAAAGAGAGAAAAAGUUCAAAGAGCAGAGGUCGGGCCCCAGGCAGCCCUCCUGCCAGCGGUCAGCUCCCCUCAGUUUCCUUGCUCUCUGGACAGAAGCUGCAGGUGCAGCUCCCAGCUGGCCACGCCCCUGUCACAAACCUGCGCCCGCCCCUCCUGCUUCUGUGAUUCGGGCCUCGGCUCUCCCCUCUAGGUAAUGGCUGUGCAGCCCUGGAGGGGCGGGCAUCUCGGUGGGCAGCAGGGAUGGGAGAUGCUCAGAAAGGCAUAUUCGGUCCCCCAGUGGGAGGGACCAGGGAGAUUCCUGGCAGGGGUCAGAGCUGGCCAAUUGCCCAAGGCUAUGGCAUGGGCCCUGAAGAGGACAGGGCUAGAUCUGAGCCAGGCAGGCUGGCCCAGCUCCUGCACAGUGUCCCUUUGCUGUGCAGCUUUGAACAAGUGGCUGGGUGCUUCCUGUCCUGCCUCCCGUUCCGGGCCAUCCAUCAGCUCAGCGGUUACUGUCCGGAGCCAGCGAGUGGCCAUAAAUGCGCCCAGCCCCCGCCUCAAGUUGCCAGGUUUCCUGUUGUAGGAACACCGUGGGGCGUCUCACACACACCGCUAAUGACAGGCAUCAUGGAGCAAUAAAAGUGA
rnacentral:lncRNA from 1 species